CAGUAGCCACGGUAAAACGUAGGUGGCAAGCGUUGUCCGGAAUUAUUGGGCGUAAAGCGCGCGCAGGUGAUUUAAUAAGUCUGAUGUGAAAGCCCACGGCUCAACCGUGGAGGGUCAUUGGAAACCGUUAAACUUGAGUGCAGGAGAGAAAAGUGGAAUUCCUAGUGUAGCGGUGAAAUGCGUAGAGAUUAGGAGGAACACCAGUGGCGAAGGCGGCUUUUUGGCCUGUAACUGACACUGAGGCGCGAAAGCGUGGGGAGCAAACAGGAUUAGAUACCCCCGUAGUCCCUGUCUCUUAUAC
rnacentral:rRNA from 1 species